rnacentral:rRNA from 1 species
UAAGCAUAUCAAUAAGCGGAGGAAAAGAAACCAACAGGGAUUGCCCUAGUAACGGCGAGUGAAGCGGCAACAGCUCAAAUUUGAAAUCUGGCGCAAGCCCGAGUUGUAAUUUGUAGAGGAUGCUUCAGGGCAGCGGCCGGUCUAAGUUCCUUGGAACAGGACGUCAUAGAGGGUGAGAAUCCCGUAUGCGACCGGUUGGCACCCGUCACGUAGCUCCUUCGACGAGUCGAGUUGUUUGGGAAUGCAGCUCUAAAUGGGAGGUAAAUGCCUUCUAAAGCUAAAUACCGGCCAGAGACCGAUAGCGCACAAGUAGAGUGAUCGAAAGAUGAAAAGCACUUUGGAAAGAGAGUUAAAAAGCACGUGAAAUUGUUGAAAGGGAAGCGCAUGCAACCAGACUUGUCGGCGGUGUUCCGCCGGUCUUCUGACCGGUCUACUCGCCGCCGGCAGGCCAGCAUCGUUUGGGAGCGCCGGAGAAAGGCACGGGGAAUGUGACCCUUCGGGGUGUUAUAGCCCCGUGCGCAAUACGGCGCCUCCCGAGCGAGGUCCGCGCUUCGGCUAGGAUGCUGGCGUAAUGGUUGUCUGCGGCCCGUCUUGAAACACGGACCAAGGAGUCUAACAUCUAUGCGAGUGUUCGGGUGUCAAACCCCUACGCGUAAUGAAAGUGAACGGAGGUGGGAGCUUCGGCGCACCAUCGACCGAUCCUGAUGUCCUCGGAUGGAUUUGAGUAAGAGCAUAGCUGUUGGGACCCGAAAGAUGGUGAACUAUGCCUGAAUAGGGUGAAGCCAGAGGAAACUCUGGUGGAGGCUCGCAGCGGUUCUGACGUGCAAAUCGAUCGUCAAAUUUGGGUAUAGGGGCGAAAGACUAAUCGAACCAUCUAGUAGCUGGUUCCUGCCGAAG